UAGGGAAUCUUCCACAAUGGACGAAAGUCUGAUGGAGCAACGCCGCGUGAGUGAAGAAGGUUUUCGGAUCGUAAAGCUCUGUUGUUGGUGAAGAAGGAUAGAGGCAGUAACUGGUCUUUAUUUGACGGUAAUCAACCAGAAAGUCACGGCUAACUACGNGCCAG
rnacentral:rRNA from 1 species